GACGAACGCUGGCGGCGUGCCUAAUACAUGCAAGUUGAGCGCUGAAGGUUGGUACUUGUACCAACUGGAUGAGCAGCGCACGGGUGAGUAACGCGUGGGGAAUCUGCCUUUGAGCGGGGGACAAAAUUUGGAAACGAAUGCUAAUACCGCAUAAAAACUUUAAACACAAGUUUUAAGUUUGAAAGAUGCAAUUGCAUCACUCAAAGAUGAUCCCGCGUUGUAUUAGCUAGUUGGUGAGGUAAAGGCUCACCAAGGCGAUGAUACAUAGCCGACCUGAGAGGGUGAUCGGCCACAUUGGGACUGAGACACGGCCCAAACUACUACGGGAGGCAGCAGUAGGGGAUCUUCGGCAAUGGACGAAAGUCUGACCGAGCAACGCCGCGUGAGUGAAGAAGGUUUUCGGAUCGUAAAACUCUGUUGGUAGAGAAGAACGUUGGUGAGAGUGGAAAGCUCAUCAAGUGACGGUAACUACCCAGAAAGGGACGGCUAACUACGUG
rnacentral:rRNA from 1 species